rnacentral:rRNA from 1 species
GAUGAACGCUGGCGGCGUGCCUAAUACAUGCAAGUCGAGCGAACAGAUAAGGAGCUUGCUCCUUUGACGUUAGCGGCGGACGGGUGAGUAACACGUGGAUAACCUACCUAUAAGACUGGGAUAAAUUAGGGAAACCGGAGCUAAUACCGGAUAAAAUAUUGAACCGCAAGGUUCAAUAGUGAAAGGCGGCUUUGCUGUCACUUAUAGCUGGAUCCGCGCCGUAUUAGCUAGUUGGAAGGGUAACGGCUUACCAAGGCAACGAUACGUAGCCGACCUGAGAGGGUGACCACCCACACUGGACCUGAGACACGGUCCAGCCUCCUACGGGAGGCAGCAGUGGGGAAUAUUGCACAAUGGGCGCAAGCCUGAUGGAGCCAUGCCGCGUGUGUGAAGAAGGCCUUCGGGUUUUAAAGCACUUUUAGCGGGGAGGAAGGUGGUGAGAUUAAUCCGUUCAUCCCUUGACGUUACUCGCACAAAAAGCCCCGGCUAACUCCGUG